GGCUGGUCUAAAUGCAGUUGUGGUUACAAUCAAUUGAUCACAGCCAGUUACAGAAUUCUUUGUUCCUUCUCUGCUCCCACAACAUCACUUGACUAGCCUUAU
ensembl:misc_RNA Y_RNA Y RNA